rnacentral:rRNA from 1 species
GAGCGCGGGGCGGGGCG